ensembl:misc_RNA 7SK 7SK RNA
GGCUGUGAGGGUGAUCUGGCUGCGAUAUCUAUCUCCCCAUUGAUCGCCAAGGUUGACUCAGCUGAUCUGGCUGGCCAAGCAGGUGUCUCCUACCUCCCUCACCGCUCCACGUGCAUCCCUCCCGGAGGUGAGUGUUAGGUCGAAGAGAACAACCACCACCAAUAAGGAGGACCUUUUCCUCCGUCAGAGGUAUAGGAGUAGCUGCGCUUCCCCGCUACAAACUCCAAACAAGCUCUGUGAAUGGGAUUUUUUAAAAAAACAAUCUGAAAGUACUUGCUUAAAACCAUGGUGAAAGAUAGCCUAGGCCUAAAAUAUUGUGGGUUUUUUUU